GGCAGGGCGACCUCGGUCCGGCCGGGACUCCCACCGGCACCGGCAGCCUCGGCCGCCCGGGGAACCGGGCCGGGCCGGAGCCUGGGUUGGAUGCGAACCGUCCCGGGCGCCGGUGCCGGGAGGGGCGGAGCAGCACGAUCGCAGAAGCUCCCGGGGAGCCGCGGGGAAGAGCCGGGCUGUGGCUCGGGGAUCGCCGAGCCGGCGGCUGGGUCGGUGCCAGCUGCCCCCCGCCCCACUGGGGCCCCGGGCUCGGACACGCGUGCUCGCCCCGGUGCCCCCACGCGCGGCCCCAGGAGGAGCCGCAGACCCCCGGUUUCGUUGCAAAGCUCGCAGCUGUGGAAGCCCCCACACAGCGAAAAACGAGGGGGGAGCCGGAGACGCUGCGCCGGGGCGGCUCGCUGAGACCCCGAGCGCUCCUUCCGCGAGUCCGAGCGGGGCGUGGGGAUAAAGGGCAACCGAAGGGGGGAUUUGGGGUCAAACGGGCGGAAACUGGAUCCACGUUUGCCUGUGCAGCGGCAGACGCUCGAAUCGGCCGGGAGCAGUCCACGAGUGAGCUCCGAGCGCCGGUACUUCGGGGCAGAGCUGGGGGCGCGGCGGGGCCGGCAGGGGCGGGAGGGGCGCGGGGCCGGGCUCCCCCCCCGGAGCCGGGAGCCCGUGCUGCGCCAUGGCAGCUUUUGCCGUUGACCUCCGGAGCGUGGAGGGCAGCCCCUGCCCGGGCUCCGUUCCUGUUCCCGGUACCCCUACCGAGCACCAGGCCACCCCCCCGCAGCUCCGCACGCCCCCGGCGGGGGCUCCCCGGGCCCCCUCCGGCAGGAGGAGGAACUGCCCGGUGGAACCGGGCACGCUCCCGCCCGCGGUCUCGUCCCGCAGCGCCGGGGCGGCUCCGUCCCGCUUCUCUGUCCCGGCCAAGCCGCCGUCGAGCCGCCGCAGCCCCGCUCCUGGCUCGCCCACGGCCCCGGCGGCUCCAGCUGGGUCCCCCCCCGGCAGCGAUCGCUCCCCGCUGCCUUCUCCAAGCCGUUCUCGUUUGCGUCUCGCCUUCUCUCUGCCUCCCCCCCCCGCACCGCAAUCGGGGACUCAUCUCCCGUCCCCGUACCCGCGUGGGUCAAGCGUGGGUCCGUGCUGGUGCCUGGAGCUGUAUCCCCCGCG
rnacentral:lncRNA from 1 species